AUUAAAUAUGAUUAAUUUUUUUUCUAAAAAAACGAGUUUUAAUUCAAAUUAAUUCUUUCCCAUUCUGAAAUUGGAUAUAAGCAUUUCCGUUUGUUUUAAAAGGAGGAAAAAACGACAAAAUUCACUUCCUUUAGUCCGAUUUCAUAGAUUGUGUGUUAGUGAAUUCAUAUCAGAUACAGCUGCGCUUUAGAAUCAUACUAUUCCUUGCAAUCUAAUUACUAAGGUUUAUAAAAUAAUUCCGGGGUUUAUGAAGUGCCUGUAGUAGUAAUCGAUAAACUCCCUGUUGUUAAUCGUAAACUACAAAAAUCUAUUUGGUAAAACCCAUUUUAAGAACAUUAGUCCAUCAGAAUGCUCAUAAACUCGUGAAGAAAACUUAGAAAACCCCACGUGGGUAGCCUGCUGGUGAUGUGUGAACCCACGACAAACUACCGGUUUUUCAGAAAUGAAAAAAGUACCCGAGUGGUUUGUUACACAUGGAAAAUUAAAUACUUAUAUAAUCUUCACAGUGUAACUCUUUGCACUUAACUCAGGUAAGUGCUAAAUGUUUACUUGUGGUAGUGAUGGUAUGGGCAUCUACUUUGCGUUAUACCAUUGUCGCAGUAAUUAAGUGAAAAUAAUAUAUAUAUUUUAAAUUAUAUCCAUUUUUGUAUGAAUUAUAUUUACUUUAUUAAUUUUUAAUUUUUUGCUAAUAGAUGGCGCUACAUGUAAACACAGCAAAUCCAAUGUAGACAGAAAUCAAUUGAUAUAUUGAAAUCCAAUAAAUAUUUUGGGCUGAUAUAUAGGACGUUAUCUAAGCUAGCAUUUAUGUUAACGGAACUGCUGCGCUUCGAAACAAUUGGUCGAACGGCCUAGGAGUGCAUAGCGAACAAACAAAUUUUCUUAUUUAUACAUAUAGACAAUUUUAUGUAUAUUAUAAAUAAAAAUUUAAACAUGGAAAUUGAAGAUAAGUAUUGAAAAGAAAUUACAAAAGCAAGAUAACAAGUAUAGAAAAUAUAAAGUAAAAAGGUUGAACAAGAAGAUUAAUUUUCCAACAAAUAAAAAACAAAUGUUAAGAGAAUAAUGUUAUGGUUAAGAAAUAUAAUAUUAAUAUAGUCGCAACGUAUUAAAAAUCCAGCAGCGAGUUGUGAAACUUUUCCAUCAACAAUAUUGUAGUGGCUGUUAUGAUAUUUUAGAAAAAUUGUAAUGUUAUUAAUUAUUAUAAAGUGGAAAAAAAGCUUAAUUUUGCAGGCAGAGAUGAGUUUUAUCAAUAUAAAAUAUUGUAAAUGCUAAUAACGAAAAAAAUCUUCAUUGAGCCCGAUCCUACUCGAGAUAUGACAUAUGAUCCACUCUAUUUCCCCAUCUCUUUGGCAUUUAAUUAAAGCAGCUGUAAAGUUUUAUCUAAAAAAUAAUAUAGCAACGAGUAUUUGAUUUUCCGGAGUAUUUGACGGCACCAUCUGUUAAGAUAUUUUAUUUUAAAAACUUUUUAUAUUUUUAAUUAUUAUAAAAUGGAAAAAUCUUAAUUUUAAGGGUAUUAAGGAUAGGGAUGAGUUUUAUAAAAAAAAAAUUGUUAAUGCUAAUAACGAGUAAAAUCGUCAUUAAAUUUGACACUACUCGAGAUACGCCACACGACUCCCAUUAUUUCUUCACCCCUUGACCUUUGAUCAUCAAAAUUUAAACAGCGUCAAUCAUCCUAAUAAACAAACCACCCAA